rnacentral:rRNA from 1 species
CACGUAGGGGACGAGCGUUGUCCGGAUUCAUUGGGCGUAAAGAGCGCGUAGGCGGCUCGGAAAGUCGGUCGUGAAAUCCUGGGGCUCAACCCCGGAACUGCGUCCGAUACUUCCGAGCUGGAGGCAGGUAGGGGAGAUCGGAAUUCCUGGUGUAGCGGUGAAAUGCGUAGAUAUCAAGAGGAACACCUGAGGCGAAGGCGGGUUGCUAGGCUGACACUGACGCUGAGUGCGCGAAAGCCAGGGGAGCAAACGGG